GAUGAAGAACGUAGCGAAAUGCGAUACGUAGUGUGAAUUGCAGAAUUCAGUGAAUCAUCGAAUCUUUGAACGCACAUUGCACCUCUCGGUAUUCCGGGAGGUAUGCCUGUUCGAGCGUCAUUUGUACCCUCAAGCUCUGCUUGGUGUUGGGUGUUUGUUCCGCCUCUGUGUGUGAACUCGCCUCAAAACAAUUGGCAGCCGGCGUACUUGUUUCGGAGCGCAGCACACUUUGCGAUCCAGAUCAACGUACAGCGGCAUCCAAGAAGCCUUAUUUAACGCUCUUGACCUCGGAUCAGGUAGGGAUACCCGCUGAACUUAAGCAUAUCAAUAAGCGGAGGA
rnacentral:misc_RNA from 1 species